UAAGCAUAAAUAAGGGAAAUUAAAAAAUUAAAGAAAGCGGAUAAAAAAUUGACAAACUGGUGUUCAGUCUCAGAAAAAGGAAUUUCAAACUUUUUCUUGUAAAUCAUGCCAUAAUGAAAAAUUUUUAUUGAAGGAAAGCUGCCAUUGCAAACCGUGGGCCGAAGAAAACCAUAGACAGUUGUCUUGUAACAGUUUGUGGAGUGCUCGUGGGAGAAAAAUUUAAAACCUACGUGCUGACGGUAAAUUGGUGGGUGUGCCUUUAUACAAUAUGCGACAAUUGAUCAAGCUACAAAGGCUAUAUUGAAAGGUAACGGUAAAGAAUUAAUGAGAAGGCCAGUCUUCGUUAGGUAAAAAUGAAUACUUGGCUGGUAAACAAUGCACUUACGGAAAUAGCCAGAGGAGAAAAAAUCUAAAAGUGAAUGUAAAGAAGAGGAAAUUCAACCACAAACGAAUGACAAGAAUGGGGAGGAAGAGGUUGAGAAUAAUGAAGAAAGUAAC